CCAGAGCCCUAUGGCAUACAGAAGGACCUGGGGAGAGGGGUUGGGAUGUAGCCCUGACACACAGACCCGAGAGGAAGAUGUUUAUGCAUGCUCUGUGUGUGUGAGAGGAAGAUGUGUAUGCAUGCUCUGUGUGAGAAGGUGUUUAUGCAUGCUCUGUGUGUGAGAGAGGAAGAUGUGUAUGCAUGCUCUGUGUGUGUGAGAGGAAGGUGUUUAUGCAUGCUCUGUGUGUGUGAGAGGAAGGUGUUUAUGCAUGCUCUGUGUGUGAGAGGAAGGUGUUUAUGCAUGCUCUGUGUGUGAGAGAGGAAGGUGUUUAUGCAUGCUCUGUGUGUGAGAGGAAGGUGUUUAUGCAUGCUCUGUGUGUGUGAGAGGAAGGUGUUUAUGCAUGCUCUGUGUGUGAGAGGAAGGUGUUUAUGCAUGCUCUGUGUGUGUGUGUGAGAGGAAGGUGUUUAUGCAUGCUCUGUGUGUGUGUGUGAGAGGAAGAUGUUUAUGCAUGCUCUGUGUGUGUGUGUGAGAGGAAGAUGUUUAUGCAUGCUCUGUGUGUGUGUGUGAGAGGAAGGUGUUUAUGCAUGCUCUGUGUGUGUGUGUGAGAGGAAGGUGUUUAUGCAUGCUCU
rnacentral:lncRNA from 1 species